rnacentral:rRNA from 1 species
CCUACGGGUGGCAGCAGUGAGGAAUAUUGGUCAAUGGGCUUACGCCUGAACCAGCCAAGUCGCGUGAGGGUAGACUGCCCUAUGGGUUGUCACCCUCUUUUUUCAGGGUGCAAAUGGCUCUACGUGUAGCGUUAUCGAGAGUACCUGAAGAAAAAGCAUCGACUAACUCCGUGCCAGGAGCCGCGGUAAUACGGAGUAUGCGAGUGUUAUCCGGAUUUAUUGGGUUAAAGGGUUGCGUAGUGGGAAUGCAGAGUGCGCGGUAAAGUCGCGGGGCAAAAACUCGCUGUGCCGUUGAGACUGGCGUUCUUGAGUGCGCAAGACGUAUGAGGAAUGCGUGGUGUAGCGGUGAAAUGCAUAGAUAUCACGCAGAACUCCGAUUGCGAAGGCAGCACAC